GACGUAGGGGGCCAGCGUUGUUCGGAAUUACUGGGUAUAAAGGGUCAGUAGGCGAUGUGGCAAGUUGGAAAUGAAAUCUAUGGGCUCAACCCAUAAGCUGCUUCCAAAACUGCUAUGCUUGAGUGUGGAAGAGGCGCGUGGAAUUGCAGGUGUAGCAGUGAAAUGCGUAGAUAUCUGCAGGAACACCCGUGGCGAAAGCGGCGCGCUGGACCACAACUGACGCUGAAUGACGAAAGCUAGGGGAGCAAACAGG
rnacentral:rRNA from 1 species